UACGGAAGGCAGCAGUGGGGAAUAUUGCACAAUGGGCGCAAGCCUGAUGCAGCCAUGCCGCGUGUAUGAAGAAGGCCUUCGGGUUGUAAAGUACUUUCAGUCGUGAGGAAGGUGUUAAGGUUAAUAACCUUAGCAAUUGACGUUAGCGACAGAAGAAGCACCGGCUAACUCCGUGCCAGCAGCCGCGGUAAUACGGAGGGUGCGAGCGUUAAUCGGAAUUACUGGGCGUAAAGGGCACGCAGGCGGUUAAUUAAGUUGGAUGUGAAAUCCCCGGGCUUAACCUGGGAAUGGCAUUCAAGACUGGUUAGCUAGAGUCUUGUAGAGGGGGUAGAAUUCCAUGUGUAGCGGUGAAAUGCGUAGAGAUGUGGAGGAAUACCGGUGGCGAAAGGCGGCCCCUGGACAAAGACUGACGCUCAUGUGCGAAAGCGUGGGGAGCAAAACAGGGAUUAGAUACC
rnacentral:rRNA from 1 species